UUCCCUCCUACGGCUCUCUGCAGAGGUACCAGAUGCAGAGGGAGGAGGUUGGGAUGA
ensembl:miRNA mdo-mir-12380 mdo-mir-12380